UCAUUUCCAGUGUGGGCUGCCUUAGU
rnacentral:piRNA from 1 species